GCCCCCCUCCCCCAGACAUCUGCCUGCUGCUCUCAGACACUGAGGAUCUGUGUGAGGGGAACAGAUCCUGUGAUAGGAGACAGCCAUAGGCUGAGACAGGACUCGGCUGCAGCACCGGCUGACACUUUCUCCAUGUGUACGGAGGGCUCCUCUUCUCUUCCUCCAGGACAGCACACAGAUAACCAUAGCUAUGGACCUAAAUUGAGGGAGGGGCUUGGAGCUGCAGCCAGGAACUGCUAGAACAGUGGUUCUCAACCUGAGGGUCGAAUGGCGAUUUGCCAGGGGUCACCGAAUCCUGGGCUGUUCCUAAAGCCCGCACCGCUCUUCUAGCCUUUUUGCGACUGAGCCAGAAACACAGUUGUCCCAUGAGUGCCACAGUGACAGCUGCCUCGGGCAAGAUUUAUAUAGACAGAAGGUGAUUCACAGCUAAACAGGAGCUUCUCGUGGCAAGUUGAUCAGCAGCAUUUAGAAGGCUUUUCGCAGUGCUUCUGGGUGAGAAGUGCAGAAAAACACGGCAGCCGUUGCUUGUGACAGCUACAGUGGGAGGAGCUCUGCACCGCCACUUGUUCCAGAAUUUGCUAUGGUUAGUCCAUCUGGAAUACCCCUGAUGAAGGGACCCUCAACAAGUCCCGAAACGCGUCCGGUGGAAUACUGACUACAAAUACCAGCUCAAUAUUGUAUACUGUUGUUUUUAUGACAAUCAUAUUGCUAAUGUUUCUUACA